UACAGAGGGGGCAAGCGUUGUUCGGAAUUACUGGGCGUAAAGGGCGCGUAGGCGGCCUGCUAAGUCGAACGUGAAAUCCCCGGGCUCAACCCGGGAACUGCGUCCGAUACUGGUUGGCUUGAAUCCCGGAGAGGAGAGUGGAAUUCCUGGUGUAGCGGUGAAAUGCGUAGAUAUCAGGAGGAACACCGGUGGCGAAGGCGGCUCUCUGGACGGUGACUGACGCUGAGACGCGAAAGCGUGGGGAGCAAACAGG
rnacentral:rRNA from 1 species